AGUUCGGAUUGUAGGCUGCAACUCGCCUACAUGAAGUCGGAGUUGCUAGUAAUCGCGGAUCAGAAUGCCGCGGUGAAUGCGUUCCCGGGUCUUGUACACACCGCCCGUCACACCAUGGAAGUUGGGGGCGCCCGAAGUUGCCUAAGAAAUAAGGUACCUAAGGCGAAACCAAUGACUGGGGUGAAGUCGUAACAAGGUACC
rnacentral:rRNA from 1 species